rnacentral:rRNA from 1 species
UACGGGGGGGGCAAGCGUUGUUCGGAAUUACUGGGCGUAAAGGGCUCGUAGGUGGCCAACUAAGUCAGACGUGAAAUCCCUCGGCUCAACCGGGGAACUGCGUCUGAUACUGGGUGGCUUGAAUCCGGGAGAGGGAUGUGGAAUUCCAGGUGUAGCGGUGAAAUGCGUAGAUAUCUGGAGGAACACCGGUGGCGAAGGCGGCAUCCUGGACCGGUAUUGACGCUGAGGCGCGAAAGCCAGGGGAGCAAACGGG